GAUGAACGCUGGCGGCGUGCCUAAUACAUGCAAGUCGAGCGAACGGACGAGAAGCUUGCUUCUCUGAUGUUAGCGGCGGACGGGUGAGUAACACGUGGAUAACCUACCUAUAAGACUGGGAUAACUUCGGGAAACCGGAGCUAAUACCGGAUAAUAUUUUGAACCGCAUGGUUCAAAAGUGAAAGACGGUCUUGCUGUCACUUAUAGAUGGAUCCGCGCUGCAUUAGCUAGUUGGUAAGGUAACGGCUUACCAAGGCAACGAUGCAUAGCCGACCUGAGAGGGUGAUCGGCCACACUGGAACUGAGACACGGUCCAGACGCCUACGGGAGGCAGCAGUAGGGAAUCUUCCGCAAUGGGCGAAAGCCUGACGGAGCAACGCCGAGUGAGUGAUGAAGGUCUUCGGAUCGUAAAACUCUGUUAUUAGGGAAGAACAUAUGUGUAGGUAACUGUGCACAUCUUGACGGUACCUAAUCAGAAAGCCACGGCUAACUACGUG
rnacentral:rRNA from 1 species